GAUGAAGAACGCAGCGAAAUGCGAUAAGUAGUGUGAAUUGCAGAAGUACCGUGAAUCAUCGAAUCUUUGAACGCAAAUUGCACUCUCUGGUAUUCCGGGGAGUAUGCCUGUUUGAGGGUCGCUUAACAAACCAUCGAUUUCGUUGAUUUUUUUUUUUAAAGUGAUGUUUAUCGGAUUUGAGCCGUCUUUUUUUUUAUAUUUAAGUGGCUUAAAAUUGAUUUUUUUGGUACGAUCGAAGCGUAUUUUUAUGAUCAAUUUUUGGUUAAAGAAACGCACACGUACCGUUAUUUAUAUGAUGUAAUACGUUUGACUAUUGGAUUUAGUCCAUUCGUAUACGAUAUCUUUCAAUAUUUGACCUCAAAUCAGGUAAGAACACCCGCUGAACUUAAGCAUAUCAAUAAGCGGAGGA
rnacentral:misc_RNA from 1 species